UGGGGAAUAUUGCACAAUGGGCGCAAGCCUGAUGCAGCCAUGCCGCGUGUAUGAAGAAGGCCUUCGGGUUGUAAAGUACUUUCAGCGGGGAGGAAGGGAGUAAAGUUAACACCUUUGCUCAUUGACGUUACCCGCAGAAGAAGCACCGGCUAACUCCGUGCCAGCAGCCGCGGUAAUACGGAGGGUGCAAGCGUUAAUCGGAAUUACUGGGCGUAAAGCGCACGCAGGCGGUUUGUUAAGUCAGAUGUGAAAUCCCCGGGCUCAACCUGGGAACUGCAUCUGAUACUGGCAAGCUUGAGUCUCGUAGAGGGGGGUAGAAUUCCAGGUGUAGCGGUGAAAUGCGUAGAGAUCUGGAGGAAUACCGGUGGCGAAGGCGGCCCCCUGGACGAAGACUGACGCUCAGGUGCGAAAGCGUGGGGAGCAAACAGG
rnacentral:rRNA from 1 species